rnacentral:rRNA from 1 species
AACGAACGCUGGCGGCAUGCCUAACACAUGCAAGUCGAACGAGACCUUCGGGUCUAGUGGCGCACGGGUGCGUAACGCGUGGGAACCUGCCCUUAGGUUCGGAAUAACUCCCCGAAAGGGGUGCUAAUACCGGAUAAUGUCUUCGGACCAAAGAUUUAUCGCCUUUGGAUGGGCCCGCGUUGGAUUAGCUAGUUGGUAGGGUAAAAGCCUACCAAGGCGACGAUCCAUAGCUGGUCUGAGAGGAUGAUCAGCCACACUGGGACUGAGACACGGCCCAGACCCCUACGGGGGGGAGCAGGGGGGAAUAUUGGACAAUGGGCGAAAGCCUGAUCCAGCAAUGCCGGGUGAGUGAUGAAGGCCUUAGGGUUGUAAAGCUCUUUUACCCGGGAUGAUAAUGACAGUACCGGGAGAAAAAGCCCCGGCUAACCCCGU